CUUUUGCGGUGUGGGAUGGGCCCGCGGCCUAUCAGCUUGUUGGUGGGGUAAUGGCCUACCAAGGCGACGACGGGUAGCCGGCCUGAGAGGGUGACCGGCCACACUGGGACUGAGAUACGGCCCAGACUCCUACGGGAGGCAGCAGUGGGGAAUAUUGCACAAUGGGCGCAAGCCUGAUGCAGCGACGCCGCGUGAGGGAUGACGGCCUUCGGGUUGUAAACCUCUUUCAAUAGGGACGAAGCGCAAGUGACGGUACCUAUAGAAGAAGGACCGGCCAACUACGUG
rnacentral:rRNA from 1 species